AAUCCGCAUCUUCUAACUACGAUUCUUGCACCAAACCCGGACAUCUGGUUGGGCCACGUCAUCUAAAUUUUGCUCAGGCGUUGGAUCAGAAAUCAAUGACAUCGACCUCUUCAACGUGGCCUUACUUAUCUGGCAGGAAGUCUCGCGAAGAGCGCCGGCGGCACGCGCAGGCCGAGGCCGAGGCCUCCGCAAAUGCUGAUUCCGCAGCCGUGCCUAUCCUCUGCAGCAGAUCAGUGGCUUCCCCUGAGACCAGACUUGCAGGCCUCUGCGCCACGGCCGGACCAGCUGGGUUGGCCGCCGGCGUGACCCCAGCUGGAGCAGCAUGGCCGCCGCCUCAGUGCCCCCUGCGCCACAAGCCCAGUGUCCCCUGCAGCAUAUCCGGCUAUCGCUGCACCCCUGCCCUUGGACCACGGGCCGUCGCGCCACUGGCCCCUGGCCCCCUUCACCACGGCUGGCCUCCGCGCCGCCGAGGGGAGCAGAGUCGGCCAGCGCCACGCCAUGCACCACGAGCGUCCGCUGCCGCGCCACCGGCCGGAGCAGGGACCGCCACCUCUCGCCUCGGCCACCGCCGGCCCACCGCCGGAGCGCCACCUUGCUACCCUCUUCGUCUUCCUCCCUUCCCUGCCUCAUCAAAUGGAUCACGCCCAGCCGGCCACUAACUGCUCGAAGAAAUGCCUCCAAGGGAAGGUGUUGGCUGGACAAAAUUUUCAGGACAGCUCAAUAACAUAACAACGUGUGCACAAACCUAGAAUAUUUGCUUCCACUUAUUUUUUUUCUAUUGCAUUUCUUUACAUUUACUGUUAUGCUUCAAUUAAGUUAUUUCUUUCUUACUCACUGCAGGCUUCCUUGCAUUGUCAAACUAGCGAUGCAGGUAAUCUAUCCACCUACAUCUUCAUUUAUACUACUGUCCAAAUUAAAAAAAUAAUAACAAUGUGUAGUAAUUAGUAAACGAGUUGCAGGGCCAAAUAACUCCAUUAUAGAGUUGCGUCCCAUGAACGCUCUGUACAAUGUUGUCAGGGUGUCAAGGACUUGGGAAUUUAGGGGUAAAAGUGAGAACAAUCCUCUAAUCCAUUUUGACAUGGUCCUCAUUGAUCAAAUGGUAUGACUACAUACUCCUUUGGCACCAAUUUUUAUAGAGAUAAUCUUUCAAAGCAUUUCUCCUACAAAACUAUGUUCACAUAAUUUUAAAUCUAUGAAAUUGGAAUUACAGGGUUAUGCGGUGUACUGUGAGGUACCUCCACAAGUGCUGGAUCAGUUAAAGCAAUAUUUACAAGAAGGAAAGGUUCUCUAUAUAUAUGCAAUGCAUGUGUUGAAAGGGCUAUACCUGGAUUUAGAGUUGUGGAUGCCCCUUACAUAUUAAAACUGAUCAUGAGAACACAGAUUUUUGAAGAAAAUAGCAGUGAUACAACUUUUACAAAGUAUGUAUUUUCAUUAGCCCCAAUCGAAAUGCUACCACAAUAUGCAAGAAGGACAAACCGUUUCCUAGGUAACAAAAAGAACUAUUUACACACAUUUAUACUUGCCUCACACUUAAUCUGCACAUGUUCAUUAAAUAUAGUAGGCUAUCAUAACUUACAGUCUUUUUGGAAUGUAGAUGUCAUUGGAAAAAUCACUCUGUCAUCUCAAAUGUAGCUGUAGCAUGUAACACAUCUGGAGAUCUUUUACAUCCAAUUGAUAUCAGCUGCCAUUCUAGCUCUUUGAUGAUGUUUAGUCGCUCUGCCUGUAAUGAUUACAAUCCUAUGAUCUAUGCAUCAGAAGCAUAGUUAAGCCUUCAGUUCAUUUUUAUUGAGAUGUUAGCCUGUUCAAGCUUAUGCGGUUGGACAACCGUGAGCAACAGGAGAGGAAGAAGCUAAAAAACUAAAGAAUGAUCCAAGGACUACACAGCUAGCAGCAAGCAAACCAAACAGAAGGAUAUUUUGUUGUGCAGGACAUGCCAAUAUGGAUUGUGCUUCUGCUUAUAAUUUUGGAUACAACUUUGGCUAACUGAUGUUUUUGCUUUUGGGAUACAUCUUUAGGUCGAAAAAUAAACUUUCGACAGCCCAGAACAUUUGUAGCCACCACAGAAUAACAUCGAUGAUGAAAUGAAAGAUUAAAACAUAUCUAUCUUUUGAGAACAAAGAUUAGGUUCACUGCU